GAUGAACGCUGGCGGCGUGCCUAACACAUGCAAGUCGAGCGAACAGACGAGGAGCUUGCGCCUCUGACGGUAGCGGCGGACGGGUGAGUAACACGUGGAUAAAAUACCUCUAAGAAUGGGGUAAUAUCGGGGAACAGGAUCUAAUACCGGAUAAUAUAUUGAACCGGAUGGGUCAAUAGUGAAAUAAGGUUUUUGUGUCACUUAUAGCCUGCUCCGGCCCGGAUUCGUUAGUUGGUAAGGUAACGGCUUAGCAAGGCAACGAUGCUUAGCCGACCUGAGAGGGUGAUCGGCCAGACUGGAACUGAGACACGGUACAGACUCCUACGGGAGGCAGCAGUAGGGAAUCUUACGCAAUGGGCGAAAGCGGGAUAGAGCAAAGCCGCGUGAGUGAUGAAGGACUUCGGAUCGUAAAGCUCUGUUAUUCGGAAAGAACAAAAGUGUAUGUAACUAUGAACGUAUUGACGGUACCGAAAGAAAAAGCCCCGGCUAACUCCGUG
rnacentral:rRNA from 1 species